rnacentral:rRNA from 1 species
AGUUAUCUGAACCUUCGGGGAACGAUAACGGCGUCGAGCGGCGGACGGGUGAGUAAUGCCUAGGAAAUUGCCCUGAUGUGGGGGAUAACCAUUGGAAACGAUGGCUAAUACCGCAUGAUGCCUACGGGCCAAAGAGGGGGACCUUCGGGCCUCUCGCGUCAGGAUAUGCCUAGGUGGGAUUAGCUAGUUGGUGAGGUAAGGGCUCACCAAGGCGACGAUCCCUAGCUGGUCUGAGAGGAUGAUCAGCCACACUGGAACUGAGACACGGUCCAGACUCCUACGGGAGGCAGCAGUGGGGAAUAUUGCACAAUGGGCGCAAGCCUGAUGCAGCCAUGCCGCGUGUGUGAAGAAGGCCUUCGGGUUGUAAAGCACUUUCAGUCGUGAGGAAGGUAGUGUAGUUAAUAGCUGCAUUAUUUGACGUUAGCGACAGAAGAAGCACCGGCUAACUCCGUGCCAGCAGCCGCGGUAAUACGGAGGGUGCGAGCGUUAAUCGGAAUUACUGGGCGUAAAGCGCAUGCAGGUGGUUUGUUAAGUCAGAUGUGAAAGCCCGGGGCUCAACCUCGGAAUAGCAUUUGAAACUGGCAGACUAGAGUACUGUAGAGGGGGGUAGAAUUUCAGGUGUAGCGGUGAAAUGCGUAGAGAUCUGAAGGAAUACCGGUGGCGAAGGCGGCCCCCUGGACAGAUACUGACACUCAGAUGCGAAAGCGUGGGGAGCAAACAGGAUUAGAUACCCUGGUAGUCCACGCCGUAAACGAUGUCUACUUGGAGGUUGUGGCCUUGAGCCGUGGCUUUCGGAGCUAACGCGUUAAGUAGACCGCCUGGGGAGUACGGUCGCAAGAUUAAAACUCAAAUGAAUUGACGGGGGCCCGCACAAGCGGUGGAGCAUGUGGUUUAAUUCGAUGCAACGCGAAGAACCUUACCUACUCUUGACAUCCAGAGAACUUUCCAGAGAUGGAUUGG